AACAAGGCGUACCUGCGGACCUGCGGAAGGAUCAUCAUUGAAACCCAUUUGCCAAGGGUUUGUUUCCUAGGGGGGAGGAGUGCAGUGCAGAAAAACUCUGCAUCUCCGAGCCUUGACCGAGACAGGCCUCUUGGACAAACAACCAAUCUUCAUGACUAGGAAAAAAAUUGACAGUGAUUUGGUUUGGCAACAAAAGUUCUUGUCUGACAAGCAGCUUUGAUUUGGAGCAUGAUAACUAAU
rnacentral:misc_RNA from 1 species